GCCCGGCUAGCUCAAUCGGUAGAGCGUGAGACUCUUAUGAAGAUGUCUUUCAUAUCUCAGGGUUCAUCUCAAGGUUGUGGGUUCGACCCCCACGUUGGGCU